rnacentral:rRNA from 1 species
UACGGAAGGGGCUAGCGUUGUUCGGAAUUACUGGGCGUAAAGCGCGCGUAGGCGGCUGGACAAGUGAGGCGUGAAAGUCCUGGGCUCAACCCGGGGACGGCGCUUCAGACUGUUUGGCUUGAGUCCGGAAGAGGGUGGUGGAAUUCCGAGUGUAGAGGUGAAAUUCGUAGAUAUUCGGAGGAACACCGGUGGCGAAGGCGGCCACCUGGUCCGGUACUGACGCUAAAGUGCGAAAGCGUGGGGAGCAAACAGG